rnacentral:rRNA from 1 species
UGAUCCUGGCUCAGGAUGAACGCUAGCUACAGGCUUAACACAUGCAAGUCGAGGGGCAGCAUGGUCUUAGCUUGCUAAGGCCGAUGGCGACCGGCGCACGGGUGAGUAACGCGUAUCCAACCUGCCUUACACUCUUGGACAGCCUUCUGAAAAGGGACGAUUAAUACAAGAUGUUAUCAUGGGUAAGCAUUUUCGCAUGAUUAAAGGUUUACCGGUGUAAGAUGGGGAUGCGUUCCAUUAG